rnacentral:rRNA from 1 species
AGUGAACGCUGGCGGUAGGCCUAACACAUGCAAGUCGAACGGCAGCACAGGAGAGCUUGCUCUCUGGGUGGCGAGUGGCGGACGGGUGAGGAAUACAUCGGAACCUACCUUUUCGUGGGGGAUAACGUAGGGAAACUUACGCUAAUACCGCAUACGACCUACGGGUGAAAGUGGGGGACCGCAAGGCCUCACGCGAUUAG